AGGACGAACGCUGGCGGCGUGCUUAACACAUGCAAGUCGAGCGAACCUUCGGGUUAGCGGCGAACGGGUGAGUAACACGUGGGCAACCUGCCCCGAGCUCUGGGAUAACUCCGGGAAACCGGGGCUAAUACCGGAUAUGACCCGAGAAGACAUCUUCUCGGGUGGAAAGUUUUUCGGCUCGGGAUGGGCCCGCGGCCUAUCAGCUUGUUGGUGGGGUAAUGGCCUACCAAGGCGACGACGGGUAGCC
rnacentral:rRNA from 1 species